rnacentral:rRNA from 1 species
UACGGAAGGCAGCAGUGGGGAAUAUUGCACAAUGGGCGAAAGCCUGAUGCAGCUAUGCCGCGUGUAUGAAGAAGGCCUUAGGGUUGUAAAGUACUUUCAUCGGGGAGGAAAAAACAAAACUAAUAAUUUUAUUUCUUGACGUUACCCGAAAAAGAAGCACCGGCUAACUCCGUGCCAGCAGCCGCGGUAAUACGGAGGGUGCUAGCGUUAAUCAGAAUUACUGGGCGUAAAGAGCACGUAGGUGGUUUUUUUAAAGUCAGAUGUGAAAUCCCCUGGGCUUAACCUAGGAACUGCAUUUUGAAACUGAAAUACUAGAGUAUCGUAGAGGGAGGUAGAAUUCUAGGUGUAGCGGUGAAAUGCGUAGAUAUCUGGAGGAAUACCCUGUGGCGAAAGCGGCCUCCUAAACGAAUACUGACACUGAGGUGCGAAAGCGUGGGGAGCAAACAGGGAUUAGAUAC